CAUGGACACAAACCAUAGUUUUCAGUUCCAUAGGAUCUUUAGGCCUCAGACCGGGAACCAGAGCCCUUCAUAAACUACUUCAAGAACUCCACAAACUACUUUAGAAACCAAGUUUAACAAAUAAUCUGGUUUCUACUGACUACCUCUCCGUAUAUUUAAUAAUCUAAACAUGUCGAUUAUGUACUCAUAAAAAUGAAUUUUGUAAAGGAAUUACUUUGCUGGGGAGUGUUUGGAUAUUCUGAAGAACGAUUGGGUUAUCCUAC
rnacentral:lncRNA from 1 species